GCCUUCUGGGAAACAGGAUCCUUUCUCUCUCCCACCCCCCUCAAGUCAAAACAGCAGUGGAGAAAGAAUUGUUUAUUGGAGACAAAAGCUGUGCAAGCGAUGGAAGUGACCACCUCCUCUCUGCGAGGAUUGCAGCAGGUGCAUCUGGCCCAUGUUCUGCCUAUGAAGGAGCCUCUGCACCCCCUU